UAGACCCCGAAUAUCAGUCAGAUGACUCAGCCGAAGCUCCGGUUGAUGAUGUACCUUAUGAUCAGCCGGGCGUGCUAAUGAGAUCUUGGAGGAAUCACUACUACAUUUUUGACCAAAUGCAACGGCCUAAUAAAGGCUAAUGUAAUGGUAUUUUAAUUGCCGUUGCAAUAGAGUAGGCUAUUGCCACGGUAUUUUAAUUACCGUUGAAAUAAAGUAAGCUAUUGCCACGGAUUUAACACUAAUAUUCUUAGAGGUAGAGCUAUUGCCACGGCUAUAAAGAACCGUUGCAAUAGCCUAGCUAUUUUAGCAAAAAUGAGACCUAUUGCAACGGUAUGUGUUAUAUCAUGAAAAAAUUUAGAGUGAAGCGCGCAUUUCUUCUCUCUAUUUUUUUCACCAAAUUUUUGAAGUGUUUACUUCCCUCUAUUCACAAUGCAUUCUCACAGUACUCAUUCUCAUUUCUCACAGUACCCAUUUUAUCAUAGUACACGUUUUCUCCAUUUUCCCAAUUCUCAUAUUUGCUUCAAUUCUCCAUUUUCCCCAAUUCUCAUAAUUUAUAAAGUGUGGGUAAAUUAAUUGAAUGCAGGCUUCAUAAAUUGAUACUUCAUAGAAUUAUUCCCACGCAAUUGCUUCUCCAAUUUACACAAAUGAACUUAAUUUCAAUUGGAAGGCAGGACAUGGCGGGGGAUGCUUAGGCUACGACGAACGGCAGUGCUCAGGCAACGACGAACGUCUUCGCUCAUGCCUUGGUAAACGGGAAUGCUCAUCAGGCAAGAAUAUUCAAUCGAGGCGCAAAUGAUAGUGGAAAGUCUUGUUCCUCUGAAGAGGUAUAUGUAGCCACAUUGAAUUUUUUGUGUGUAGCCUUUUAUGUUUAUCUUGAAUAAUGUAUAUUGCUUGAGAUUGAUUACUGUAAUUGCUUUUCAUGUCUGCUACAUGUUUAUAUAUAUUUAAAUUGUUAGCUGACUUAAUCCUGGUGUAUUGUUGAUAACUAAUUGUCAUUGAGAUUGGUUUCUAAUUUAGCAAUAUUUAAGCAGACUAGAUGGAUCUCCACAAUUUCAAAUUAUUCCUUAUUAUGUCUAUUUGUGUAACCAUAGCUUAGGUCUUAGGAGUUAAGAUUGUAAAGUUAUUAUGUUAUUAUUGAUUAAUCUGCAGCACACCCAAAAAAUUAUUGUCAACUCUGAUCCAAUGGUUUGGUUUAGUAGGAUAAUAGGAAGUAGGAAUUAUUUGUGGAUCUGAGUGUUAAGUGUUCGUCUUCUUGAAGUUGGCCCUUCACAGCUGUCUACUCUGGGCUAUAUCCAACUUUCUAUUUUAAAUUAGGCAUCAUUUAAAGUUUGCCGACAUGUUGCUGAUAAAAGUUUUUAUUUUUCAUGAAUGAAUGUUUUCGGAUACAUUAGUCUGCACUAUGGUAGUUUAAUAUAGGUUCUUGAUAUUAAUAACAAACAGGAAAUAUGAGUUAAGGGACAUUCUUAGCUAAUUGGUGUAGACAUAUCCAUUGUUGAUGUCUUAGAGGCCAUGCUUGCUAGUUGCUAUACAAGUUGCUCGACGGGUAUGAGUUCAAGGUGGGUGGAAAGAGUAUGUGCAGAGUUAUGAGAGAAAAGGUUAGGUAUGUUGGUGAUGGUUUUGAAUUUAUGCAUUAGCAAUGAAGAAGAUGUGCUAGUUGAAUAAAAGUUUAAGUUUAUUAUUGUUAGGGAACCGAGUAUAAGGGUUCAAUUUAUGAUGCUACUCCUGCUUUUGAAUCUUAUGGAGUUUGUCAUGGAUCUGGUAUGUUUUUUUCUCUUCAUUUUUAUGAUUUUAAUGUUUUUCUUGUAAUUUAAUAUUGGUCUGAUGAUUUGAAUAUUGGGAGUGGUGGGGGUGGGGGGGGGGGGAUAAACAAGACAAUAUCUACAACAAUUAAAAGGAGUAAAUGCUAUUCUUUUUAAUAAAUUUCUAAUGCCACUGCUUCUGCAUGAUUUACAUCUGCUGAGACCUGUAGCCCUUAUAAAGUUACCAACAAGAGUUGUUCAUUGGGAUUUCAUUUGGGCUAGCCAAAAUUAGUUAUACUUGUUAUAGUGCAAAUUAAAGCUGAUAAUGGAAUUGCAUAAGUCAAAAUUGAGCAAUCAUGAUUUUUCAAAAUAUUCUAUCGUUUUCCGAUUUUAAGUUGUGUAAUUUAAGUAAUUGAGAUGCCUUGCUAAAUAAUUAAUACAAUGAUUUUUCGAUUUUGAGUUGAUACUACUGGAAGUAUUAAUAGGAGAGCCAUUGAACUUGAAUCUGUUGCUGGUGCUUACUGGAGAGGAGAUGUAAACAGGCCAGUGCAACAAAGGAUUUAUGGCACAGCAUGGGAAAAUGAAGAACAUCUGAAAGCUUACCUUCAUUUCAAAGCAGAAGCUCUACGGCGGGAUCACUGACGUCUUGGCCAAGAACUUGACCUGUUUUCCAUAGAGGUAUCUUAUAUCUAUAACUUUUAUGAUUUGUUAAGAGUGUUUAAUAUUCCAGAGCCCAUCGCUACCCUUUUUAUUUCCCCCACACUCAUCAUUUGUUUGUCACAAAAAGAUUAUGUCCUGUUCAUGUAGACUUGUAGAUCCACGAAGAAGGCUUUUUCUUCUCCAAAUAAUGCAAUUGAAAACUCAAAAUAUUAUUUUAAUUUCAUAGUUCCUUAUUGCUUGCUAAAUCCCAGAUCAUCUAUGAGUUUGUUAAUAUUGCUAGUGAGGGGCAUCUUUAUGACAUAGCUGAGCUUUAUAAAGUAUUAACAGUUCAUGCUUGGUCCUUUUAACUAAAUAAUUUCUAUGGAGUUCAUGCGGAGUAAGUGUUUGAGAGGCUUGUUACUUAUUUUUGUUGAAUCAGAUCAAAUCAGACAAUGCUUGAUCUUUAGUUUCUGUGUUUUUUAUAUUACCAAGUAUCUUUAAUUUUCUAUUACAUCCGUUGUCCCCAAAUAAAAGUCUCAUUUUUUUGCACAAAACUUGUCCUUAAAUGAAAGUCUGAUACUCUGAUUACACUUUUAUCUAUUACUUUAUUCACUUGUAAUCAUCCGAAUCCCACUUGGCCCACUAUAUUAUUAUUAUAUUCAAUUACUAUAUUGUUUUUUAUAUUCUCUUGUAAUCAACCAAACCACAUUAUCUUAUUUUUUCUAUCCUCCUUGUAAAAACUUGUGCAAAAGGCAUAUGAGACUUUUAUUUGGAGACAGAGGGAGUAGUAAAUAUUAUGAAAAUUAGAUGGAACAUUUACAUUAAGAUGAAUCUAGCAAGAAGGCCAAGAACCCACAUGAUGUUCUUUCUAACUAUAAACUAAUGUAAAGAGUCAAAGUUAUAUCAUAUAGAGUUUAGGCCAACCAAAUCAGAAGAAAGAUUUAGAGUCCAGAACUAAAUAAAUUAGACCAGAACCCUUUUCCUAGUGAAAUGAGCAAACCCUAAGUGUUAGUUGUGUACAGUCUUUCUUUUCUCCAAUUAUUUGUACUUAUCAUCGUAAGAUAAGUUGGCUAGGGUAUCCUAAUAGUUACAGUCUUUCUUUUAUUGUGACUUUGUGAGUAAGGCUCAUGUCAUAGUAAACACGUCACACAUGUAUUCAUGGAUUGAUAAGAAUAUCAGCAGUCUAUAUCAUGGAAUUCUCUGUCUUUCAAUGAGUUCUCCGUUUUUUUCUAUGUUGAAGAAAUCUUUUUGUUGCUUUAUUCAUGAAAUUCAUCUAAAGUAGCUCAUCUAUACUGAUCUCUUAAUGUGUUGUCAUGCCUAUUAUUUUUCUGUAAAAGGAAGAAGCAAUGACCAUGAUGGAUACAAGCAAAUCGUUCAAAAUCCUGUCAGGCCAAGCAUUUCCUUUGGGAGCUUCAGAAGUGGAGAAUGGAAUAAAUUUUGCAAUUUUCUCACAACAUGCAAGCUCAGUAAAUCUUUGCUUAUUGCUUCCUCCCACCGGCUGGUGAUUAUGCAUCUCUUUUAUCGUUAUUGUUAUAUUGAUUAUGUGUGCCUUACAUAACUUGUAUAGCUUGGUUUUUAACUGUCCUCCUUGAUUGUGUUAAAAUCUGCAAACCAAAGGGUUGAGGUACUGUGAUAUACUAUAAUUAUAUUUCUUUUAGUUUAAUUAUAUUUCUUUUAUUUUUUUCAAUUUUACGUAGUGUAGGUGCAUGGGGAGUCAAAUGGAGCGGAAGUAUAGUGACUAGCCAUCUAACAAAUGGGGCAUAUAUGUUGGCGACUCUUAUUUAAGUUCCGGCUUUGUGAAGAUUUGGAUAUUUCCGCUUAUAUAUAUGUUGACAAUUUGUAUUUUGGACGAUCAAAUUAAUUAUCUAACUUUUAUUUAUUAUUACUAGGGUAUGUCAUACCAAAAAUAGGCAAGUAAUAUUUUGUAAUGUACGUAUUUUGCAUUAUAAUUAUUAUAUAUAAAUGAUACUUUAAUUUGUUUAUGUUAGUAUAUUUAGAUUUGUACCGACUAAUUAAUAUUAUAUUACCAUUCCAUCCCAACAAAAAAAAAAAAAAAAAAAAAAAAA